rnacentral:rRNA from 1 species
UCAGGUAUUGACGGUAUUUAACCAGAAAGCCACGGCUAACUACGUGCAGCAGCCGCGGUAAUACGUAGGUGGCAAGCGUUGUCCGGAUUUAUUGGGCGUAAAGCGAGCGCAGGCGGUUUUUUAAGUCUGAUGUGAAAGCCUUCGGCUCAACCGAAGAAGUGCAUCGGAAACUGGGAAACUUGAGUGCAGAAGAGGACAGUGGAACUCCAUGUGUAGCGGUGAAAUGCGUAGAUAUAUGGAAGAACACCAGUGGCGAAGGCGGCUGUCUGGUCUGUAACUGACGCUGAGGCUCGAAAGUAUGGGUAGCAAACAGGAUUAGAUACCCUGGUAGUCCAUACCGUAAACGAUGAAUGCUAAGUGUUGGAGGGUUUCCGCCCUUCAGUGCUGCAGCUAACGCAUUAAGCAUUCCGCCUGGGGAGUACGGCCGCAAGGCUGAAACUCAAAGGAAUUGACGGGGGCCCGCACAAGCGGUGGAGCAUGUGGUUUAAUUCGAAGCUACGCGAAGAACCUUACCAGGUCUUGACAUACUAUGCAAAUCUAAGAGAUUAGACGUUCCCUUCGGGGACAUGGAUACAGGUGGUGCAUGGUUGUCGUCAGCUCGUGUCGUGAGAUGUUGGGUUAAGUCCCGCAACGAGCGCAACCCUUAUUAUCAGUUGCCAGCAUUAAGUUGGGCACUCUGGUGAGACUGCCGGUGACAAACCGGAGGAAGGUGGGGAUGACGUCAAAUCAUCAUGCCCCUUAUGACCUGGGCUACACACGUGCUACAAUGGAUGGUACAACGAGUUGCGAACUCGCGAGAGUAAGCUAAUCUCUUAAAGCCAUUCUCAGUUCGGAUUGUAGGCUGCAACUCGCCUACAUGAAGUCGGAAUCGCUAGUAAUCGCGGAUCAGCAUGCCGCGGUAACACGUUCCCGGUCGAGUUUCACCCCGCCUCAGGAAGUCGUAACAAGGUAACCAUAGAGUUUGAUCAGGGCUCAGGAAGUCGUAACAAGGUACCCAUAGAGUAAGCAU